GAGGUGGUCCAUCCUUGGUCUUAAGUCUAGAUCAAGAGGUAUAAGACUAACCUUCACUUUGUUCUUGAUUCCAAAAAAAAAAAAAAUUGUUUUGAUGCAUUAUAUAUAAACCUAUGAACCUUGAAGGGGAUUUGCAUGACUAUAGCUUUGAUAAUCUGUUAUAAAUGCUUCCGCUGCUUUCGUAUAUUAAAUUUUGAUUUGUAUAUGCAUGAUAGUCAUUAUGAAAUCCCAUUCUAGAAUCUCAUAAUUUUCCCUUCAAGUGGUAUCAGAGCCAAUGGUUUAUGUAUAAUGUGUCCUUUUGGAUUUUAUGCAUAUGGGUAUUAAUGUUAUGUAUGACAUAUUAUUGUUUCAUUCAAAGUAUGUUUAUCUUUUGUUUUUCAAUAGUUGAAAAAUGUUAGUCAAAAGUUGAGAAAGAUAUGUUUGCAAAAGUGUUUUGUAUACAUGAAUGAAAAAUGAGUUUAGAACUAGUUAGACAUAUUAUUUCUUCAUUUAAAAGUAUGUUUGUCUUUUGUUUUUCAAUGGUUGAAAAAUGUAAAUCAAGAGUUGAAAAAGAUAUGCAUGUAAAAGUUGUUUUGUAUGCAUGAAUGAAGAAUAAGUCAUGAACAAAAUUUGGGGUUUUGUUCAAAAGGGUAGGCACGGUUUUGGGGGUGGUUUUGGGUUGUGUUUGUGUUUUAUUGUAAACCACUCACACACCCUAUUAAUGCUUAAAAGUAGUGUUCUUGUCACUUUUGUUUUUGGGUUUGAAAAAUCACCAAGAAUAUAUAAAUCUUGAAAUUGUGCUCAUGGUUUUGUUCUUGGUGUUCAUGGUUUGGUUUUGGGUGAAAAUAGUUUUAAUUGGUUUUCAUGCAUGGUUUUAUGGUUUUGGAUGAUGUUCUUACCAUCCAUAACCAUAUUAAAAACUUAUAAAACCCUAGACUUGACUAGGAGGAUUUCCAUCACCCAUCUCACCUAAGUUUUAAUUGCAAAACCAAGUGACAAGCAAAAUUUAAUUUUUCUUACAUAAUGUGGCUUUUAAUGCAUGUUGUGUAAGAUUGUGUAAGAGAACU
rnacentral:lncRNA from 1 species